AACGAACGCUGGCGGCAUGCCUAACACAUGCAAGUCGAACGAGACCUUCGGGUCUAGUGGCGCACGGGUGGGUAACGCGUGGGAAUCUGCCCUUGGGUUCGCAAGAAAAGUUGGAAACGACUGCUAAUACCGGAUGAUGUCGUACGUCCAAAGAUUUAUCGCCCAAGGAGGAGCCCGAGUAGGAUUAGCUAGUUGGUGAGGUAAAGGCGCACCAAGGGUUGGAUACUUAGCUGGUCAGAGAGGAUGAGCAGCGACACUGGGACUGAGACACGGCCCAGACUACUAGGGGAGGCAGCAGUGGGUAAUAUUGGAAAGUGGGCGAAAGCAUGAUCGAGCAAUGCCGGGUGAGUGAUGAAGGCCUUAGGGUUGUAAAGCAAUUUUACACGGGAUGAUAAUGACAGUACCGGGAGAAUAAGCUCCGGCUAACUCCGUG
rnacentral:rRNA from 1 species